CCUACGGGUGGCAGCAGUGGGGAAUAUUGGGCAAUGGGCGAAAGCCUGAACCAGCAACGCCGCGUGAAGGAAGAAGGCUUUAGGGUUGUUAACUUCUUUUGUCAGGGACGUAGCAAGUGACGGUACCUGACGAAUAAGCCUAGGCUAACUACGUGCCAGCAGCCGCGGUAAUCCGUAGGUGGCAAGCGUUAUCCGGAUUUACUGGGUGUAAAGGGCGUGUAGGCGGGGAAGCAAGUCAGAUGUGAAAACCACGGGCUCAACCUUAGGCCUGCAUUGGAAACUGGUUUUCUUGAGUGCUGUAGAGGCGAGCGGAAUUCCGGGUGUAGCGGUGAAAUGCGUAGAUAUACGGAGGAACACCAGUGGCGAAGGCGGAUUGCUGGACAGUAACUGACGCUGAGGCGCGAAAGCGUGGGGAGCAAACAGGAUUAGAUACCCCGGUAGUC
rnacentral:rRNA from 1 species